AUUGAACGCUGGCGGCAGGCCUAACACAUGCAAGUCGAACGGUAACAGGAAGCAGCUUGCUGCUUUGCUGACGAGUGGCGGACGGGUGAGUAAUGUCUGGGAAACUGCCCGAUGGAGGGGGAUAACUACUGGAAACGGCAGCUAAUACCGCAUAACGUCGCAAGACCAAAGAGGGGGACCUUAGGGCCUCUUGCCAUCGGAUGUGCCCAGAUGGGAUUAGCUAGUAGGUGGGGUAACGGCUCACCUAGGCGACGAUCCCUAGCUGGUCUGAGAGGAUGACCAGCCACACUGGAACUGAGACACGGUCCAGACUCCUACGGGAGGCAGCAGUGGGGAAUAUUGCACAAUGGGCGCAAGCCUGAUGCAGCCAUGCCGCGUGUAUGAAGAAGGCCUUCGGGUUGUAAAGUACUUUCAGCGGGGAGGAAGGGAGUAAAGUUAAUACCUUUGCUCAUUGACGUUACCCGCAGAAGAAGCACCGGCUAACUCCGUG
rnacentral:rRNA from 1 species